rnacentral:lncRNA from 1 species
UUGCAAAAAUAAAACCACAAAUAGAUUGUAGGUGUGAAAUCACUUGGGACUCAUGAUUUAAAAUGAUAAAAAAAAUCAAACAAAAAAGAUCCAAAAAUAGAUUUCUCAUUACAAAAACAAAACCACAAACAAAUUGUAGGCAUGAAAUCACAAAAAUAGAUUUCUCAAAUUUAGUAUUUAAUCUGUAACUAAAUCAAAAAGAGAGAGAGGG